UACGGAGGGAGCUAGCGUUGUUCGGAAUUACUGGGCGUAAAGCGCACGUAGGCGGACUGUUAAGUCAGGUGUGAAAGCCCUGGGCUUAACCUAGGAAUUGCGCUUGAGACUGGAUAGCUUGGAGUGCGGCAGAGGGAGGUGGAAUUCCACGUGUAGCAGUGAAAUGCGUAGAGAUGUGGAGGAACACCGAUGGCGAAGGCAGCCUCCUGGGCCAGCACUGACGCUCAUGCACGAAAGCGUGGGGAGCAAACAGG
rnacentral:rRNA from 1 species